rnacentral:rRNA from 1 species
AUUGAACGCUGGCGGCAUGCUUUACACAUGCAAGUCGAACGGCAGCGCGGGCUUCGGCCUGGCGGCGAGUGGAGAACGGGUGAGUAAUGCAUCGGAACGUGCCCAGGAGUGGGGGAUAGCCCGGAGAAAGCCGGAUUAAUACCGCAUACGACCUGAGGGUGAAAGCGGGGGACCGAAAGGCCUCGCGCUAUUGGAGCGGCCGAUGUCGGAUUAGCUAGUUGGUGGGGUAAAGGCUUACCAAGGCGACGAUCCGUAGCUGGUCUGAGAGGACGACCAGCCACACUGGGACUGAGACACGGCCCAGACUCCUACGGGAGGCAGCAGUGGGGAAUUUUGGACAAUGGGGGCAACCCUGAUCCAGCCAUGCCGCGUGCGGGAAGAAGGCCUUCGGGUUGUAAACCGCUUUUGUUCGGGAAGAAAUCCUCUGGGCUAAUACCCCGGGGGGAUGACGGUACCGGAAGAAUAAGCACCGGCUAACUACGUG